GACCCGAGGAAUGGAGACACACCUGUCUGCAGAAACUGCAACAGUAAAGAUAAGGGAGAAAAAAAGCAGCCUGCCUAGGAACAACGAUGACACCCAAUGAGGAGCAGGAGACCCCAGACCCCAAAAUUACUAUUGGUCUGAACUACCACGUGUGUGUGUGGGGGAACUUAAUUUGAAAAAGCUGUAAUUGCCCAGGGAUCCAUUUGUUCGGGGUCCCUCUUCGGAGGCACCCAACUCGAGCUGUAACCACUGCACGCGUGUCAUUACAGUUUAUUUAUUUAAUUUGCCUUGAUUUGGCUCUGAGCUUUUCAGCGGGAACCUAGGGUCGGACCCUGCUCGAGUUGUAAUUACUGCACGCGCAUCGCCAAAACUUACACCCAGGGCGAAGAGGACCCACCUACCACCAGACGGGAGUCCCGUCCCCACUCCCCCCCGCCCCUCCAACCGCCGAGACUCCCAAAGGACGAGGACCAACGGGACGCCGCUGGAUCCACGGUUCAGGAAGAUGAUUCUUAGCACUAAAGAUGACAGAUGUCCAGAAAUGAUGGACCCCUCAUCACGCAGGCUGGGAAGACAAAGCCAUCAGGAUGCGAUGCUAGCAGCAUCAUGCCCUUAUGUGUCAUUGGCUAUUGGAAAGGGCACUCCCCUACCAUAAUGCUCUAAAGGACUGAGGAGGAAGAUGAGGAGGACCUUUGACCUUAGCACUAGCUGAGGGACAGCCUGGUUGCAAUAUUUUAACAUUGUAAGAAUACAUGAAAGGAUAAGUGAUUCAACUAGUAGGAUCUGUGCCUUACAGCAAGUGGCCAUGACCUGUAAAGAAUGUCCUAUGCUUCAUUUUCUGUAAAAAGUCAGAAUGAUUUCUUCUAUGUGAAGAAUGAAUGAGUUGCUUGAGUGGAAGGAGUAAUUCACAGACCAUAAGGACAAGACAGAUCCUAUUUAUAUUCUGAAACACUGAAGACUUCUUGGAUGAUCAGUACAACCCCCGCAGACACAGUAAAGAAUGGGCUACCGAGGUGCAAGGGAGAGAGAAAAUUGCAGACGAAGCUUGGAGAGACAACGUGGUUAUAUGAAUUACACUACAUGGCUAUCUUAUAAAUUCAGUUCCAUAGCAAAAGCAGUAUUCUGGGAUCCACAGCUUCCAAGAUGUAGUUCAUUAGCGGUAUGUCUGAGCAAGCCUCAGUGUCCUCUUAGUGUUAGUCACUCUGCACGGUAGGCUGCAGAGUUUCUUCAGAGCUCAUUCAUUUUAGCUAGACAUGCACUUGUGACAACCACAUUUCUCCAUUCUCUCUCCACUGUUUUCCUGACUGGUCAGUUCCUCUUAGUUGCCUCUUUUUUAUUUGUUUAUAGUGUUUUUUUUUUUAUAACAUGGUCAUGUCCAAAACCACCAAUCAGUGCUAAUAUCAUACCAGCACUGCUGUCAGAAGAUGUGCGACCUUCCUUCCCUGGUCUCUGCUAAUUGUAUCUGUCUCCAAGUUUUUUUCUUUCUCGUGCCAGGACAAAGAUUUGUACAUCCAGCAGAUAUAAUCUGUACAAAUACCUGCUGUUAAAAUCUAAAAUCAGUGAGCACCUAAAUAUACAAUAAACAUAUAAGCAUGUUUUGAAAA